rnacentral:rRNA from 1 species
CCUACGGGAGGCAGCAGUGGGGAAUAUUGGACAAUGGGCGGAAGCCUGAUCCAGCAACGCCGCGUGAGGGAUGACUGCCUUCGGGUUGUAAACCUCUUUCGGUGGGGACGAAGCGCAAGUGACGGUACCCACUAAAGAAGCACCGGCCAACUACGUGCCAGCAGCCGCGGUAAUACGUAGGGUGCGAGCGUUGUCCGGAAUUAUUGGGCGUAAAGGGCUCGUAGGCGGUUUGUCGCGUCGGGAGUGAAAACGCCGUGCUUAACACGGCGCUUGCUUUCGAUACGGGCAGACUAGAGGUAUUCAGGGGAGAACGGAAUUCCUGGUGUAGCGGUGAAAUGCGCAGAUAUCAGGAGGAACACCGGUGGCGAAGGCGGUUCUCUGGGAAUGACCUGACGCUGAGGAGCGAAAGUGUGGGGAGCGAACAGGAUUAGAUACCCGA